CUAUUUAGAAAGGAAAUAUAAUGAAUCAAGAGGAUCCUACCUUCUCUUAUGCAAGGUCAUCCCCUCAAGUUCUCCAGGCACAGGCAUCCACCCAUAGAAGUUAUUGGACUGCCCUCCCCUUUGGCCAGAGCCUGGCAUUUCACUUGAAUGAAAUUCUUUGUUCCAAGGGAUGGCUCUCUGGAAAGGAGAGAGAGGGAUUCAAGGGGAUGUCUAAAGGGACAUUGAAAUAAAAGAAAUUUCUUGGGCAUCCGGCUUCCUGUUUCCUUCCUGAUGUUUCUACAGAGCUCUGCCUCAUCUCCCAACUCCUCCAGGCAUUGUCAUUGCCAUUGUCAUUCUUCAUUCUGAUCUUCCUGAUCUUUUUGGACUUUUGUCUCUGUACAAGAAGCACCAUGGUGCCUGCCCCAUAGUAGGCUCUCAAUAAAUAUUUUUCAAUCAAAUUCA
rnacentral:lncRNA from 1 species